rnacentral:rRNA from 1 species
UACGUAGGGUGCAAGCGUUGUCCGGAAUUAUUGGGCGUAAAGAGCUCGUAGGCGGUCUGUCGCGUCGGCUGUGAAAACCCGGGGCUUAACCCCGGGUCUGCAUUCGAUACGGGCUAGCUAGAGUGUGGUAGGGGAGAUCGGAAUUUACGGUGUAGCAGUGAAAUGCGUAGAUAUCGUAAGGAAGACCAGUGGCGAAGGCGAAUCUCUGGACAGUUACUGACACUGAGGCACGAAGGCCAGGGGAGCAAACGGG